rnacentral:rRNA from 1 species
UACGGGGGGGGCAAGCGUUGUUCGGAAUUACUGGGCGUAAAGGGCUCGUAGGCGGCCAACUAAGUCGGAUGUGAAAUCCCCAGGCUUAACCUGGGAACUGCAUCCGAUACUGGAUGGCUUGAAUUCGGGAGAGGGAUGCAGAAUUCCAGGUGUAGCGGUGAAAUGCGUAGAUAUCUGGAGGAAUACCGGUGGCGAAGGCGGCAUCCUGGACCGACAUUGACGCUGAGGAGCGAAGGCUAGGGGAGCAAACGGG